CAAUUGGAGGGCAAGUCUGGUGCCAGCAGCCGCGGUAAUUCCAGCUCCAAUAGCGUAUAUUAAAGUUGUUGCAGUUAAAGAGCUCGUAGUUGGAUCUUGGAGCAUUAAUAGGAGUCGGUCCCUCUUUAUCUUCAAAAAUAGAGAGGAUGUAACUGACUCCCGAUGCUCAUUUAUUUCCUUAGUCUAUCUUCGGAUAGGUUAAGGAUCGUUUACUUUGAAAAAAUUAGAGUGUUUAAAGCAGGCAAUAUCUUUUUGCCAUUGAAUAAUUCAGCAUGGGAUAAUAGAAUAAGACUCGUAUCUUUAAUUUCUAUUGGUUUCUAAAGAUACAGUAAUGAUUAAUAGGAACGGUCGGGGACAUUGAUAUUUCAUUGUCAGAGGUGAAAUUCGUAGAUUAAUGAAAGAUCAACAUAGGCGAAAGCAUUUGUCAAGGACGUUUCCAUUAAUCAAGAACGAAAGUUUGAGGAUCGAAGACGAUCAGAUACCGUCGUAGUUCAAACUAUAAACGAUGCCGGCCAAGAAUCGGGGAACGUUUACAAUUCUUGGAUGACUCCCUCGGCGCUCUGUGAGAAAUCAUAAGCGUUUGGGUCCUGGGGGGAGUAUGGUCGCAAGGCUGAAACUUAAAGGAAUUGACGGAAGGGCACACCAGGAGUGGAAUCUGCGGCUUAAUUUGACCCAACACGGGAAAACUCACCAGGUCCGGACAUAGUAAGGAUUGACAGAUUGAUAGCUCUUUCUUGAUUCUAUGGGUGGUGGUGCAUGGCCGUUCUUAGUUCGUGGAGUGGUUCGUCUGGUUAAUUCCGAUAACGAACGAGACCUCAAUCGGCUAACUAGUUCUAUCAAUCUUGCUCAGCUUGCUGGGAACUCUUGGGUGCUGGCGGUUGGGUUCGGUAGCAGAACUUCUUAGAGGGACUAUCAGGUAUUUACAACUGGGGGAAGAGUGAGGCAAUAACAGGUCUGUGAUGCCCUUAGAUGUUCUGGGCUGCACGCGCGUUACACUGAUCAAGUCAAAAAGUUCAUUCAACCUUGGGUGACAGCUCUGGGUAAUCUUUGAAACUUGAUCGUGCUGGGGAUAGAUCAUUGUAAUUAUUGGUCUUCAACGAGGAAUAUCUAGUAAGCGUAAGUCAUUAACUUACGCUGAUUACGUCCCUGCCCUUUGUACACACCGCCCGUCGCUCCUACCGAUUGGAUGAUGUGAUGAAAUUCUCGGAGAUUGUCUUCGUCAACAGUCGGGGCAACUCGAUUGUGAAGACUGGUCAAAGAGACUUAAAUCUUAUUAUCUAGAGGAAGGAGAAGUCGUAAC
rnacentral:rRNA from 1 species